UUUAAAGUCUGACCUGCCCACUGAAAUUUUUUAAAUGGCCGCAGUAUACUAACUGUGCAAAGGUAGCAUAAUCAUUAGUCUUUUAAUUGAAGGCUGGUAUGAAUGGUUGGACGAGAUAUUAACUGUUUCAUGAAAAUUUAUAAUAGAAUUUUAUUUUUUAGUCAAAAAGCUAAAAUUUAUUUAAAAGACGAGAAGACCCUAUAAAUCUUUAUAUUUAUAUUAUUAUAAUUUUUUAGAUUCUUUUUAUUAUAAUAAUAGAUUAUAUUUUAUUGGGGUGAUAUUAAAAUUUAAUAAACUUUUAAUUGUUUAAAUCAUUAAUUUAUGAAUAAUUGAUCCGUUAUUAGCGAUUAAAAAAACAAGUUACUUUAGGGAUAACAGCGUAAUUUUUUUGGAGAGUUCAUAUCGAUAAAAAAGAUUGCGACCUCGAUGUUGGAUUAAGAUAUAAUUUUAGGUGUAGCCGCUUAAAUUUUAAGUCUGUUCGACUUUUAAAUUCUUACGUGAUCUGAGUUCAGACCGGA
rnacentral:rRNA from 1 species